rnacentral:lncRNA from 1 species
AAAAUUAUUAUUCAUAUAAAAUUUUAAUUUUAGUUAUAUAUGAUUGGAUAGUUUAAUCCAAUAUUUAUCUGUAUAAUUUAUUUAUUUUUGACUGCAUAAAUAAAAAUGAAUAAUAUGGAGAUUGAAUACGGAAGAAAAGAUAUGUGAGGCUGAAAAGAUUAGAUAUUCAACUCAUAAAUUAUUUUUUUUCAUAUUAUAAUACAAUAUUUCAUAUAAUUAUUUUGUACUUUGAACUAUUAGACAUAUUUUUGUAUCAAAUUAUAAAUAAUAUUCUAUACAAAUUAAACUAUUGAUCGUAUGAUGUUGAGAAUUUCAAGCGGCUCGUUUAGGGCUCGAGCUCGCUCAACUCGAAAUUAGGCUCGCUCGAGCUCGGCUCGAAUUAAUUUCAAUCUAAGCUUGAGCUUAAAUUUAAACUAGAAAUUAAUUUUAAGCCGAAUUUGAGCCGAGGUAAGCUCGCACGAGCUCGGCUCGUUUCACCCCU